UACGAGGGGGGCGAGCGUUGUUCGGAAUUAUUGGGCGUAAAGGGUGCGUAGGCGGUUCCGCAAGUCCUGUGUGAAAUCUUCGGGCUCAACUCGAAGUCUGCACGGGAAACUGCGGGGGCUUGAGUGUGGGAGAGGUGAGUGGAAUUCCCCGGUGUAGCGGUGAAAUGCGUAGAUAUCGGGAGGAACACCUGUGGCGAAAGCGGCUCACUGGACCAUACUGACGCUGAUGCACGAAAGCUGGGGGGAGCAAACAGG
rnacentral:rRNA from 1 species